CAGUAAAAUCAGUAAAAGUUCAUGAAAUGCCAAAGCAACCAAAAGGAUUCACCCCCUUAUUUAUCAAUUGUCAUUUGGUAAAUAUAGCAUUAAUUCGUGUA
rnacentral:ribozyme from 1 species